rnacentral:tRNA from 1 species
UUUUGACUAGUUUAGCUGGUAAAGAAUCUGCCUGCAAGGCAGGAAACCCCAGUUCGAUUCUUGGGUUGGGAA